AUGGCGCCGACCCGCAAAAGAUGGAGGAGACCGCGGAGUUCAUGCUGUCGUACAUCUACCAAAGCCUCCCCGACUACCCCCUCUACAACGGCGCGCGGCUCACCGCCCUCGCCGCCGCCCGCCGCGCCGACCGCAUCAGCCGCCUCCCCCGCGACCUCCUGCGCAACAUCCUCGCCCGCCUCCCCGUCAAGAACGCCGCGCGCACCGCCGCGCUCUCCUCCCGCUGGCGCGCGCUCUGGCGCUCCACGCCCCUCGUCCUCGUCGACAUCCACCUCCUCCCCAAAGCCCAGGACUUUAGCCCCACGCCGGCCAACACGCCGGCCGUCACCGCCGCCGUCUCCCGCAUCCUCGAAGCGCAACCCGGCCCCUUCAGCUGCGUCCACCUCAUCUGCAGCCGCAUGGACGGGUACCGCGCCCAGCUCGCCCGCUGGCUCCAGCUCCUCGCCGCCCCGGGCUUCCAGGACCUCGUGCUCGUCAACCGCCCGUGGCCGUUCAACGUGCCGCUUCCCGCCUCGCUCUUCACCAUCACCACCCUCACCCGCCUCUACGUCGGCGUCUGGAAGCUGCCGGGCACGGCGGCCCUGCAUGGUGCCUCCUUUCCCAACCUCCGGGAGCUCGGCCUCUAUUUCGUCUAAAUGGAGCACGGCUUCGUCGACUCCCUCCCUUGUCGCCAGGAGCCCCGUCCUGGAGGUCCUCAACAUCGUGGGAUACAUCAAGUGCGGGUUGCGUCUGCGUCUCGUCAGCCAGAGCCUGCGGUGCAUCCAAAUCUGCGGCUCUGUUCUGGAGAACAUCGCCGUGGUGAAGGCUCCAUGUCUCGAGCGGCUCAUCCUGUCAUCACCUUACACGCCCAAUCGUGGCUUGUGCGCAAGGCUCAGGAUUGUCGAUGCCCCCAAGUUGCACACCUUUGGAUAUUUAGAGCCAGGACAGGUCCUAGAGGUCCAUGGCACUGUUAUCAUGCCCGGGAUAAAGCCUAGCGAAAAUGCCAUGCUCACGGGUGUGAAGAUUCUGAGUUUGGAAGUGCGUUUCGGUGUUCGCAAUGAUGUUAAGAUGGUGCCCACCUUCCUCAAAUGCUUUCCCAAUGCCGAGAGACUGCAUAUUGUGAGUAAAAAAUGUGAUGAACCCACUGGUGAGCCCCUCACCGUCAAGUUCUGGGAGGAGUCUGGUCCCAUUGAGAACGUCGUCUCGCGCAUCAACCUGAUGACUUUCCGUGAGUUCAAAGGGGACCGAGGCGAGGUUGGUUUCCUGGAGUUCGUCUUCAAGAGUGCGCGGGCGCUGGAGAUGGUUGCCAUUUUCAUGGCCAAUCCAAGCUUCACACCGUUCUCGAUGGACGAGGCGCUUGUCAAGGCGCAAUACAGCGCCAGAAACCUGGCAAGUAAAUCCUGCAAAAAGUGUAUCAUCUGGAGUAGCCGUCCUGAAGGCGGCGAUCCUUGGAGCCUCAGAGUCGGGGCAGAUUUCUCCUUCGAGGACCCGUUCACGGUGAGGGAGGAGGAUAGCUGA
rnacentral:rRNA from 1 species